rnacentral:rRNA from 1 species
AGAGAUGGAUUGGUGCCUUCGGGAACUCUGACACAGGUGCUGCAUGGCUGUCGUCAGCUCGUGUCGGUGAGAUGUUGGGUUAAGUCCCGUAACGAGCGCAACCCUUGUCCUUAGUUACCAGGCACGUUAUGGUGGGCACUCUAAGGAGACUGCCGGUGCAAACCGGAGGAAGGUGGGGAUGACGUCAAGUCAUCAUGGCCCUUACGGCCUGGGCUACACACGUGCUACAAUGGUCGGUACAAAGGGUUGCCAAGCCGCGAGGUGGAGCUAAUCCCAUAAAACCGAUCGUAGUCCGGAUCGCAGUCUGCAACUCGACUGCGUGAAGUCGGAAUCGCUAGUAAUCGUGAAUCAGAAUGUCACGGUGAAUACGUUCCCGGGCCUU